rfam:Myotis davidii contig197011, whole genome shotgun sequence.
AGAGGCCCUCUGUGGCCAGGGCAGAAUGCUUGCCUUGUCACUGUGGCAACAAAGCAAGCAUUCUGCUAGGCCACUCACGCUGCCCAC